rnacentral:rRNA from 1 species
GACAGAGGGUGCAAACGUUGUUCGGAAUUAUUGGGCGUAAAGCGCGUGUAGGCGGCUGCGCAAGUCGGAUGUGAAAUCCCAUGGCUCAACCAUGGAAGUGCACCCGAAACUGCGUAGCUAGAGUCUCGGAGAGGAAGGCGGAAUGCUUGGUGUAGAGGUGAAAUUCGUAGAUAUCAAGCGGAACACCGGUGGCGAAGGCGGCGUUCUGGGCGAUGACUGACGCUGAGGCGCGAAAGCGUGGGGAGCAAACAGG